UACGGAGGGUGCGAGCGUUGUCCGGAAUCACUGGGCGUAAAGGGCGCGUAGGUGGCGCGACAAGUCAACGGUGAAAGCUCGGCGCUCAACGCCGAGUCGGCCGUCGAUACUGUUGGGCUUGAGCACUGUAGAGGCUAAUGGAAUUCCGGGUGUAGCGGUGGAAUGCGUAGAGAUCCGGAAGAACACCGGUGGCGAAGGCGGUUAGCUGGGCAGUUGCUGACACUGAGGCGCGACAGCGGUGGGGAGCAAACAGGG
rnacentral:rRNA from 1 species